GAAGCUGCCUCCUGUAGGGAGAGAUGGCACUGGCUGCAGCUAGGGGGAGCUCCAGAGCACAGCUCCUCUUCUAGCCAGCCGAGGGAAGCUCUCUGCUCCGUCAGCCUGAUGAUGAAAGCCAAAGACAGAUGAAUCCCACCCUGCCCGUUUUUGUGCGCCCUACCAACCCGCCGUUUUCUGCCUGCCGUACCCCGCCACGCCGCCAGACCCAGCCGUGCGCCGCCGGACCCGGUCGAAGAGAGACUCCAUCACCACAAGUCAUUGAUGAUGAAGAAGAAAGAAGAAAAGAUCCAGGACUCUAGAACCCUCAGAUGUUGACUACAAUAUGUGGAUUAAUGGAAAGAAUUUGGUCCAGUAGUAAAGUUUUUGGAGCUGCGAUUUGAUGAUUGUAGGUUAACUAGAACAUGUAAUCUUACACACAGUAUAUCAAUAAGCCAGCGCCUGAUGGGCAUUCUGGAAGGAGGGGUGUACAGGCAGAAGAUAGGGUUCCUGUCAAUGGAGGCUGCCACCCUACUGUAGCUGGUUGACAUUGCCUUUCUUUUGCCUCAUGUUUUAUUGCUACUCUGAUGUUCAACCAUCACCCCGGGUAAUCUUGCACAAGCAAGGCCAUGUUAUUUGCUCCAUUGCUGGAUUAUUGUGAUCAUAGUUGAUGCUGCAUUCUGUUAUUCUCUACAGAAAUACAGAUAACAGCUUGUCCUUAACAUCUCCACUGCUCCAUCCUUUGCUGCUGGUUCUACCUUUCUGGAUACCAGAUGCUGGUAUCCAUUCCUUGUUCUACUGAACCUCCCACUGUCUGCCUUCUUUUCCAGCUAUUGGACUCUGAUAGUUACAGCAGAAAUAUGUGGAUGCAAGAUGAGGAUCUAAAUUGAUGGAGCAAUCACUGGUAUAAUCAUUUUUUGAUCUAAGAGGGCAAUAAAUAAUUACUUUGAGGUAAAAUUUAAAUCGGUUUUACACCUGUUACUGCCUCCAGUUGUGUCACUUUCAGUCCAUUUGUGGCCCCAUUGACCGUCUGCAGCAUCUGUAAAGUGUGUAAUCAAUUACCUGUAAUGUGGCUGGCAUCCUCUUUCCAGUGGUUGCUGCUAUUCUGAAACAUGGAUGCCGCUAUCUUGGACUGCGAGCCCGAUUCAGUAUGUGUUGUAGUUUUGCAAUAAAUCACAAAACUACAACUCACUUCUCUAACAUGCGGGGGGCCACCCAGCACAGGGCAAGGCUGCUCUGCAUGCCGGGUCCUGCCCCCGCUAACAUACGAGCACUUCGCCAAACAGCAAAGCACUCGCAUAAAAGGGUAGCCCCCUUCCUACGUGCAGUUGGAGAGCCACCAUCUUUUUGGUCACAGCGGCUGCAUGUGACGCCAUGCAGCAGCCGCGGCCCGCCCCACAAACGGUUCAGACAACGCAAAUGGUCCAGACAAACCCACCCCCAAACUGUGCGCCAAUGCCCACAAAACGCAGCAUCGACGCCCUGUCACCACCCCUUCUGCCGGCUCUUAAACUGUGAAAAUUGGCAAAUAGCGAUUUCCAUACUUCUGCGGGCAAGGCAUAUUGAAUUAGCCCCUGUGUCACAUGAUCUGUGCUGCCAAACCAGCUCUCAGCAACUCAGGUCACAUGUUACGCCUAGCCUAUAAACGCCUAGGAUGCCCUAUUUAAACCAGGAAGUACUAGCAGUAUAUUGCCAGUACAGCAUCUCUCUCAGAUGAUCGACUACCCUAGGCCCUGGUUCUGUAUUGCUUCACAGCAUUCUGUUACAGCAUAAUCUUGCUGCCUGCUCCAGUAUUGCUUUGCAGCAUUCUGUUCCAGUAAUAAUCUGCCAGCCUGCUCCAGUAUUACUUUACAGCAUUUUGUUUCAGUAUAUUCCAGUAACCAGCUCCAGAAUUGCUUCAUUUGUGCUUCCGGGACCCAGUUCUAGUAUAUCAUUGCAGUCUGCUUCAGUUGUGCUCCAGUCAGGGCCGGUUCUAGACUUUGUGGAGCUCAGGACGAAAGCUUCUUUCGGUGCUUCCCCCCACCUCAGGGACAGUGCGCAUCUAAGGCGUGAGUGCGCCAAAAAUAGGUGCGUGGCUUCAUGGGGAAGAGGCGUGGUCACAGGAUAGUGUCAAUUCAAUUUACACCAUACAGCAGUGUCCGUUAUUCAAUUUACACCACACAGUACUGCCCCUUAUACACCUUACACCACACAGUAGUGCCCCUUAUACACCUUACACCACACAGUAGAGUCCCUUAUACAUGUUACAGUAGAGCCGCUUAUAGACACACAGACUGCACAAGGAACGGGGGCAAACUGACACCAAGGGUACACCUCCUACGUCAGUAUAGGUGUAUAUGGCCACUAGAAUUAUAAGGGCCACGGUGACCCCAGUCCCGGUGGUAGAGGGCCAGAGGGAGUCGCGGGUGGGUUGGGUUGGUGGGGGGAAUGUAAUGAAGGCGCUGCCUGGGUACUGACUGUGGAAGACUUUGCGUCUUGUCAGCAUUCUCCCAUGCUUCAUGUCUGGCAGAUGAUGUGUAUGUGAGGGGUUGGCGGUGGCCGGGAGUUGUGUGCUGCUGCUGCUGCAGUCAGUAAGUCUUCUUCCACAGCUGCUCCUAGAAAGCCAUCACUUGCGCGGCGAUGUCACGCCCAGCACCACCGGCAAUCUGGGCCAGUGGGUGAGGGAUCAGCAGCACAGCCAUAGCUGCAGCUUGUAAAUAGAGGCAGAUUUAGGCCUCAUGGGGCCCUAAGAAAAACACAGAUUUGGGGCCCCCUUCCUCAAACAAUCCAUAGCUGCCCCACCACUGAUUAGCAGGCUGGUCCCCAGUCAGUGUGUUACCCCCUGGCUCCCAUCCACUGAUUGUAACAGGCAGGCCCUCAGUCAGUGUGUCCCACCACACCAUUGAUUGUAGCAGACUGCACCAAUCCCAGGCAUCUCUCCAGCACCAUCCCUGCGCAUCUCUAACAGCCGCCAUUCUCCUCCGUGCCCCACAUAGCCCCCAGCAGUGAUGCUCACAAAGAUGGAGCUCUCCACGCACAGCCACACCACCGCUGCCACCAGGCAAUUUGAUUCAGCAGGUGCUGCUUAUUGGGCAACCAGCGAUUGUACCGCUCACUUCAGAAGGGAUGGCGGACCCUCCUCCCCGUCUGCCUGUUCCACUUCCCCCUCAUCCUUCUCUUCAAUCUUGGACCCCAGGUAGCAGUGUAAGCUUCCUCAGGGGACUGACAGCCCAUGACAGCGAGCAACUGGUAAAUCCGCUGCUGGCCGGCAGUGGCAGUGGGUGAGAGAGGGUAGGCACCGUCAUAUAAGACUGCGCCUGUGGGGGAAGGGGUGACUGCGGCCGCGUCCCCAGGUCACAGCACCCCGGGCCAUUGCCCUGCUUGCCCGUGACUAGAACCGCAACUGGCUGCAGUACCCUGUUCCAGUGUAUUCCUGCAGCCUGCUCCAUUUGUACUCCAGCACCCAGUUCUAGUGCUCGAGAUAUCUCAGCAUACUGCUACAGUAUACGGAUGUAAACCUGCACUUGCCAAUCCUUUAGCUAUUGGCAAAUCCUGCUAACCUGCUACAGCCAUUGGCUGCAUGAAGAGUAGCAUUAUUAGGCCGGGUGCUGUUCAGUAUGCCGGCUGUUGGGAUCCCGGUGCUCAGUAUACUGGCACCGGAAUCCCGACACCCAGCAUACCGACAACUGUUCUCCCUCUUGGGGGUUCACGACCCCACUGGAGGGAGAAUAAAUAGUGUUGCCGCAGCGUGGCGAGCCCGCAAGGGGCUCAUUUGUGCUUGCCCCACUGCCGGCGGUCGGCAUGCCGGUGGUCGGGAUCCCGGUGCCGGUAUGCUGGGCGCCGGGAUCCCGAUCACCGGCCACUCAUUCUACACACAUUAGGCCACCUAGCUUCUCUCACACUCCAGCACAUACAGCUAGCCCUAGCAGUACUGACCUGAAUCACCAACCUCCUAGUGUCGUGACAAGAUUAAUACAAAUUUAAAAAAAAUAGUGUCGUUUUUACCCCCAAUAAAACAUUAUGGGAUAUGUGGGUCCAGUACAAUUGAUGAACAGUUAAAUCAGUUAUGAACAGUUAAAUACUGAAAAUACAGCAGAUGUAUAUUCUCUAUGACAGGCAUUCCCAACCUCAGAUCUCAAGGCACACUAACAGUCCUGGUUUUAGUGAUAUCCAUACUUGAACACAGGUGACUUAAUUAGCACCUCAGUUAUUUUGAUUGAACCAUCGGUGCUGAAGCCUGGAUAUCAUUAAAACCUGCACUGUUAAUGGCUUUACACACUGGGCGAUUUUAACGACCAACGAUAUUAUCGUUGGUCGUUUUUUUCAUCACCAAUGUUUGCCUACACAAUGGACAAUAUCGAUGGACAAUAUGGACGAUAUGACAGUACAUACAUCUAUAUCGUCAAAUUGACUUGCAUGUAUAAACGGGGAUAGAUCAACUAUGAACGUCUGCAGGGACGCGCAUCGUUCAUCGUUGAUGCAUACACACUGAAAGAUAUGAACAAUUUAUCGUUCAUUUUUUAACGAUAGCGUUCAUAUCGACCAUCGUAAUCGCUAAGUGUGUAGGGCCCUUUAGUGUUUAUUCGAGGUUGGGAAUGCUUGCUCUAUGAGAAUAUUUAAAGAAAAAUCUAGAAUGUCUAAUAUCUUGAACUUCUCCUGCACUGUGAAGACGGAACUGCAGCACAGUACACAGGUCUGAGUCAUCCUUAGCCUUAAACCCCAAGAGGGUGGGUGCACACUGAAAUACCAGUGACCAAGCAACCGUAAUGUCAGAGCUAUUACACAAUCAGGCCAGACAUUUGUUAUUGUUUGUUAUGAGGAAUUGGUGGGGUGGGGGGGGGGGGUCACUCCAUGUUAAUCAUCACUAUUAAAACCUUCCAUUUGUCUGGACGCAAAAUAAAAAUAAAAAUCUAUAAAAAAGAGGAAAAUAUCUAAAUAAUAAAUAUAUUUUUACAAAUCUCUAAAAUAAUUUAGGUGGUGCCAUGAACCAGGCGCGCUCACUGAGAAUAUAUGCACGUAUGUUUUCACUUAUAAGAGCAUCAUGCAAUGCACACGGCGUAGACAUAAAAUAAAUACACGGGGGGUUAAAUAUGCAUAUUGAGUUACAAGAAAAAGUGAGGUCAUUGAAGAACUGCUUGGAAACGGGACGUCUCACAGCUUGCAAAAUAACGAGUCUGAUUGCUAAGGGGUGACUAAAACUCAUAUAUAUACGUACAAUUUGUCACCUUCACUGUCAUCAUGGACAGACAGCAAAUGACUUGUGAAAUGUACAAGUAAAACUGCUGAAAAAAAGAAAAACUGCACCAAAUGCCAGUGAUGAUUUUGCUACAUGAGGGUGGGUCGUCUAUGAAAAGGUCAUUAAUAGCUAACCCCUGUGACGUUCUAUAUUCCACCUACAUGAAAACAAAUGCCUCCUGAAAUGUCCAUCCUGCUCUGUGUUGUGUUUCACAACAUUAUUUAAUGGUCAUUCUCGGACGAAAUCCCAAACCUUUCGGCAACUCGGACCUGUAUGUUUGUUUUUAUUUCAUAAACUGUACAGGUUUAUAAAUAUACACUUUUAUUAUCUUUGUCUACUUAUAUAAAGAUUUUUAUUAUCCAUAAA